rnacentral:lncRNA from 1 species
AAUGAACAGCCAGCAUCGAUCUGGUGGUUACAUGUAUGUUUGUUUAUGGUUGCAAUAUAAUCAUCAUGUGCUAUAAAUAUAUUCCAUUUGUAGGGAUUUGAAAUUUACAGUAUGUAUGUUUGAUUGUAAGGAGAAAAAAAACGAGAGAUCGAUAUUCCAUCUUGUUUUUUUUCAACCUGGGCUCCCCACCCAUUUCCGUUACUUUGACAUAACAGAAAUACAAUGUCUCCGACAAAACAAAAUGCAAAAGAAAGAGGGAAAUGGGGAAGAUAAAGAAGAGCAAUAGGGUUAUACUGCGCGGCAGGAAACCCGAAGACUAGCACUCGGAAUCGAAACGCUUAUUGCGGGACAAAAACAUGCCCUACACCUAUAGCUAGCCCUAACACAAAGUUCAGUUUGCAUAUAUAGUGCCAAAAUAUGUACUUUUAGAUUUGUCAUAAAUAUAUUGGUAUCGAUAUGAUGGUAGGGAAGAAAAAGAUAAAAAAAAAGCAACGGAGAUGAUGAGAGAGAAAGCACAGAUACGGUCAAUCGGCAGAGAUCGAGAGGGGAAAGGGAAA